GACAGGCCCUAUCGAAGCUGUCUGGAGUUAUAUACUUCAUAACAGUCAAAAUGAGGCCGAUAUUGAAUCUUUGAUAUUAUGGUCGCAUCGUGAUGUAUUACCGCACUAUGACGCACGGUGCAUUACCCAUAUCAAAAACAAUA